rnacentral:lncRNA from 1 species
UACAGUAUAUAUUUAAGAAAACGCUUGAAUCAAAAGUUGCAUCAAUUGCUGAACCUCUGAGUCUGUGCAAUGCAAAACAAUCUGAUGACGGAUUUUCUUAAGACACACAAACUGAUCUAUAUACUGAUUGUUUGCGUGUGGAUACCGACUGUGUUCAUCUGUGGGGAUGAAUCUUUAAUGGUGUGGACAGUAUGUUAUGGCCUGCAGAGUUAUGUCAUGGGAGUCAUCGGAUCCACUUAUUUCUUCAUGUCGUUGUAUAACAACUGACUUAUAGGAUCAGGUCCUCCCACUGGUACAAGCACUGCUCUUUCCAGAUGUUUCCCAUAUUCUUAAAUGAAAAUACUUCCAGACACAGGACACAUCAUCAGAUCCUCAUUGAUACUUUAGUGUAAUACUACGCCACAUAGUCAAUGCUCCUCACUGGAUGUUGAUGUAUGUUAUGUAUUUCCAUUACUUUUGGAAACUCCUGUAGUCAGCAACCCUUUUAUUCUCUUAAAUGUAAGAACAUAAAAAUGCAACCUGUUUAAUUAGUGUUGACACAUCAGCCAAAUGUAACACAGUACAUACUUUCUGUGUGAGUGUGUGUUUAUAUAUUUACAUGCAUACAUGUUUGUAGCUAUGCGUGUAUGUAUAAACACCAUUACCAGUAUCAUUACAGUUAUCCGCGUUUCCCGUAUCAAGAUAAACAAUUUAAGUUCAUAGGUCGUCUGUUUUAUUUUACCGAACUCUUUACUGCACUGAUAAAAGACUGUUGCUGACUGAUUGUGUUUGUAAUUGUCUUGCAUAAGCAAAUGUUUUCUCUCUGCUGUUUGCUUUCCUCAUCUCACAGUUCACGUAACAACAAGAGAAGGAGUUUGGCGGUUGGGACCCCGUCGCCCACGCUCUCACGACCUCUUUCACCUCUCCCACUUACCACAGCUGGCAGCAGCCCUUCAGAAAGCCCCAGAAAUGUCUCUGCCAGCACCUCUGCCAAUUUCCAGUUUGCUCGCAGGUAAGAAUGAACUCAAAUGCUUGUUAAUAUGGAGCUGUUCUAAGGCACUGGAGCUCAGCCACAUUACCGCAGUAGUUUUCCCUACCCAAUACAAAAAUUGGAACAUUGGUAAGACUGAUAAAAUGCAAUACGGGUGCUUGGAUUAAAUACAUAUUUUAAAAUGAGAGAAGGUUCAUCUUCCUGCAAAGAGGACAAAAACUGUAGACAGUUUAAGUUCAAAACAUAAACCCCAAUAUUUUCUAGCAUGGUUAAUGCCCAACCAAUUCAACACAACAACUUAAACAGACACACAUUUUCCACUUCCAAUGUCCUGCUGUUUUUUAUCUCUUGUAUUUUGUACGGUGUCCUUGGGUGUCUUGAAAGGUGCCUCCAAAUUCAAUUGAUUAUUAUUAUUACUUGUUUUAAGCUUAAUACAAUAAAACAUUCUAGAAAAUAACACAAGAAAAUUGGCUUUGGAGGAAUGUAAGUUGCAUGAA